GACGAACGCUGGCGGCGUGCUUAACACAUGCAAGUCGAGCGGAAAGGCCCUUUCGGGGGUACUCGAGCGGCGCACGGGUGAGUAACACGUGAGUAAUCUGCCCUUCACUUGGGGAUAACCUCCGGAAACGGUGGCUAAUACCCGAUACGACCAUUCCUCGCAUGAGGUGGUGGUGGAAAGUUUUUCGGUGGGGGAUGUGCUCGCGGCCUAUCAGCUUGUUGGUGGGGUAAUGGCCUACCAAGGCUUCGACGGGUAGCCGGCCUGAGAGGGUGACCGGCCACACUGGGACUGAGACACGGCCCAGACUCCUACGGGAGGCAGCAGUGGGGAAUAUUGGACAAUGGGCGGAAGCCUGAUCCAGCAACGCCGCGUGAGGGAUGACGGCCCUCGGGUUGUAAACCUCUUUCACCUGUGACGAAGCGAAAGUGACGGUAGCAGGAGAAGAAGCACCGGCCAACUACGUG
rnacentral:rRNA from 1 species